rnacentral:rRNA from 1 species
GUGGGGAAUUUUGGACAAUGGGCGCAAGCCUGAUCCAGCAAUGCCGCGUGCAGGAAGAAGGCCUUCGGGUUGUAAACUGCUUUUGUACGGAACGAAACGGUCCGGGUUAAUACCCUGGGCUAAUGACGGUACCGUAAGAAUAAGCACCGGCUAACUACGUGCCAGCAGCCGCGGUAAUACGUAGGGUGCAAGCGUUAAUCGGAAUUACUGGGCGUAAAGCGUGCGCAGGCGGUUUUGUAAGACAGGCGUGAAAUCCCCGGGCUCAACCUGGGAAUUUGGAUUGUGACUGGAAGGCUGGAGUGCGGCAGAGGGGGGUGGAAUUCCGCGUGUAGCAGUGAAAUGCGUAGAUAUGCGGAGGAACACCGAUGGCGAAGGCAAUCCCCUGGACCUGUACUGACGCUCAUGCACGAAAGCGUGGGGAGCAAACAGGAUUAGAUACCCUGGUAGUCC